UUCCGGUUGAUCCCGCCAGAGGUUACUGCCAUCGAGGUUCGACUAAGCCAUGCGAGUCGAAUGUAGCAAUACAUGGCGUACUGCUCAGUAACACGUGGACAACCUACCCUUAGGAUGGGGAUAAACCCGGGAAACUGGGUAUAAUACCCAAUAGAUCUGGUCUGCUGGAAUGCUUCCAGAUUUAAAACUCCGGUGCCUAAGGAUGGGUCUGCGGCCUAUCAGGUUGUAGUGGGUGUAGUGUACCUACUAGCCUACGACGGGUACGGGUUGUGAGAGCAAGAGCCCGGAGAUGGAUUCUGAGACACGAAUCCAGGCCCUACGGGGUGCAGCAGGCGCGAAAACUUUACAAUGCCGGCAACGGCGAUAAGGGGACCUCGAGUGCCAGGUUACAAAUCUGGCUGUCGCGAUGCCUAAAAAGCAUUGCAUAGCAAGGGCCGGGCAAGACCGGUGCCAGCCGCCGCGGUAACACCGGCGGCUCGAGUGGUAACCGUUAUUAUUGGGUCUAAAGGGUCUGUAGCCGGCCGGGUAAGUCUCUUGGGAAAUCCAGCAGCUCAACUGUUGGGCUUUCAGGAGAUACUGCCUGGCUCGAGGCCGGGAGAGGUGAGAGGUACUUCAGGGGUAGGGGUGAAAUCUCGUAAUCCUUGAAGGACCACCAGUGGCGAAGGCGUCUCACCAGAACGGACCUGACGGCAAGGAACGAAAGCUAGGGGCACGAACCGGAUUAGAUACCCGGGUAGUCCUAGCCGUAAACGAUACUCGCUAGGUGUCGGCCACGGUGCGACCGUGGUCGGUGCCGUAGGGAAGCCGUGAAGCGAGCCACCUGGGAAGUACGGCCGCAAGGCUGAAACUGAAAGGAAUUGGCGGGA
rnacentral:rRNA from 1 species